CAUUUCCCAACCUCAAAACUCUAAAAGACCUUGGAUUUAAACCAAGGAUUUUCUUAACCCUUUGCUUUCCUGUUGUUUCUCUGUCCAACAGAACCUCCAGGGCAGCCUGCUGCCUUUACUCUUAAUCAGAAUGGCCUGGAGGAAGGCUCGCCUCUCAUGGCUCGACGACUUCUGAUCGAACAUGCCAGCCUGGAUGACCUUCUGGUCGACGUUGAGCUUGUACUUGGCUGCUGCAAGGAUCUUCUCCUCCACGCUGUUCACAGUGCAGAGUCGCAGCACGCGCACUUCAUUCUGCUGCCCGAUUCGGGGAAGCCAUGGAGAGCAUCGUAACCAGCUGCGCCAACGUGUGGCAUGGAGGUUCCAAUGCACAGGAUCACGAAGGGCUGCAAAGGGUUCCAGUUCCAUCACAAUCCUCCCACCAUUGAGGAUAUCUUCAAAAGCUGGCAUCCAUCGCCAAGGAACCUCACCGUCUGAGAUGUCCAUUCUUCACAUUACUACCAUCAAGGAGGAGCUACAGCAGGCCGAAGACAACAUUUUAGGAGCAGUUUCAUCCUCUCCACUAUCAGAAAUGGACCAGCAAGUGGUCAAUUCAAGGACAACUGGAGGUGGACAAUAAAUGUGUGCUAUGUCAACGAUGUUCACACCUUGAAAUAAUAAGCAUCCAGCUGUCCGGCCUUUGGCGCCUCGGCCCCCGACAAGAUUCGGCCACUCUCCACGUGGAUCACCUUCACUGGCAGGUCACUCAUCUGGCUGGUCUCAUCCAGGAGCUGAGGGCAAGGGACAUUUCCCAAUGUACGAUAGAGAGCAUACUGACUGGAUGUAUCACCACUUGAAAUGGUGACGCUACAGCAUAGGACCAGAAAAAUCUGCAGACGGUUGUAGACUCAGCUAUCACGGGCAAGACCCUUCACACCAUCAAGGGUAUCUUCAAAAGGCAAUGCCUCAAGAAUGCCGCAUCCUCACCAUCUUUGACACAUCCGGUUCUCAUUAUUACCAUCAGAGAGGAGGUACAGGAGCCUGAAGACAGAAACAGCAUCUUCCCCUCUGCCAACAGAUUUCUGAAUGCUGCAUGAACAUUACCUCACCAUCUUGCUCUCCUUUUGCUCUACGUACUUUAUAAUUUUAUUAUUGUAAUUUAUAAUAUAUUUUAUGUAUUGCACUGUACUUCU